CCUACGGGACGCAGCAGUGAGGAAUAUUGGUCAAUGGCCGAGAGGCUGAACCAGCCAAGUCGCGUGAGGGAUGACGGCCCUACGGGUUGUAAACCUCUUUUGUCGGGGAGCAAGACCCGCCUCGUGCAGGCGGAGCGAGAGUACCCGAAGAAAAAGCAUCGGCUAACUCCGUGCCAGCAGCCGCGGUAAUACGGAGGAUGCGAGCGUUAUCCGGAUUUAUUGGGUUUAAAGGGUGCGCAGGCGGAUUUUUAAGUCAGCGGUCAAAUCGUGGGGCUCAACCCCAUCCAGCCGUUGAAACUGGGGAU
rnacentral:rRNA from 1 species